UUUUCUUCUGUUCCAUUGCUUGGCCUCCUGUCUCUCUUCCUCACCACCACCCUUCCGCCACCCUUGGCCAUAGCCCUCACAACGACAAGCCUCCGCUUUCGAAAGCCAUCCACCACCGCAGUUGAUGUCCCCGUUUUCAACGUAGACUUUUUCAAAAUGGAUUUUCCCGAGUGAUUUAAGAUGUAUGUGGUGGAGAGUAGAGAAGGAUGUUAAAGCACACAACUUGUGAUUUUAAUGAUCCUGGAUAGGCUUGGUUAGAUUCACCAUCAAUCAAGUUCAACAUUUUGCACAAUUGGAAUGAAAUGGAUCUUGAAAUGGUGUUGUCCCGGGCUUACAUAUGGCACACGAUGUUCAAUAAGUCUCCGAGCCAACUAGCUGGUUGAAGAGCAAGUAACAAUAUCUGUAAGAUGGGCCUUUUUGUGCUACCUUUAUUUGAAGUUUUCACAGAUUUGUUUUUGUGAAGAAUUUCAAUUUUCCGUUCUGUAUUAUGAUUUGUAAUAUUUGUGUUCUUGGUUACUGAAGAAAAGGGAAAGGGAAAAUAAACUCUGAUGUCCAUUUUUUGAUGAUA